AUUCUUAUAGUUUAUUAAAAAAAAUAUUACACUGAAAAUGUAAAGAAAUAAUUU
rnacentral:tRNA from 1 species